rnacentral:rRNA from 1 species
AGCGUAGACGGCGACGCAAGUCUGAAGUGAAAUACCCGGGCUCAACCUGGGAACUGCUUUGGAAACUGUGUUGCUGGAGUGCUGGAGAGGUAAGCGGAAUUCCUAGUGUAGCGGUGAAAUGCGUAGAUAUUAGGAGGAACACCAGUGGCGAAGGCGGCUUACUGGACAGUAACUGACGUUGAGGCUCGAAAGCGUGGGGAGCAAACA